rnacentral:rRNA from 1 species
AGAGUUUGAUCAUGGCUCAGGACGCAACGCUGGCGGCGUGCCUAAUACAUGCAAGUCGAGCGAAUCAAUAGGAGCUUGCUCCUGUUGAUUAGCGGCGGACGGGUGAGUAACACGUGGGCAACCUGCCUGUAAGACUGGGAUAACUUCGGGAAAUCGGAGCUAAUACCGGAUAAUCCUUUCCCUCUCAUGAGGGAAAGCUGAAAGUCGGUUUCGGCUGACACUUACAGAUGGGCCCGCGGCGCAUUAGCUAGUUGGUGAGGUAACGGCUCACCAAGGCGACGAUGCGUAGCCGACCUGAGAGGGUGAUCGGCCACACUGGGACUGAGACACGGCCCAGACUCCUACGGGAGGCAGCAGUAGGGAAUCUUCCGCAAUGGAUGAAAGUCUGACGGAGCAACGCCGCGUGAGCGAUGAAGGCCUUCGGGUCGUAAAGCUCUGUUGUUAGGGAAGAACAAGUACCGGAGUAACUGCCGGUACCUUGACGGUACCUAACCAGAAAGCCACGGCUAACUACGUGCCAGCAGCCGCGGUAAUACGUAGGUGGCAAGCGUUGUCCGGAAUUAUUGGGCGUAAAGCGCGCGCAGGCGGUCCUUUAAGUCUGAUGUGAAAGCCCACGGCUCAACCGUGGAGGGUCAUUGGAAACUGGGGGACUUGAGUGCA